rnacentral:lncRNA from 1 species
AUUUAAUCUUUCUCAAAUCUUUUCUUAAAUCAAUUUCAAUUUCGUAAAUCAAUUCUCAAAUCAAUUUCUCAAAAUAUCAUAAACUCAUUUAAUUCAAAUUGAAUAACUGCAAUAAUAAAUCUGCAUAAAAUCGAUGGAAUCACCAUACUCAUAUUAAAUACUGAAUACUAAAAACUGUCAUCAAACAAGUACCCAGGGGAUAAUCUGAUCAUAUCCGGGCUACAACGGCCAGGCAAUAACGCACUAUCUGGGUAACGUCACGCCCCGGAGCCACAACGGAUAGAUGGGGACGAUCUCAUCUCAUAUCUCAUAUCUCUUAUCUCAUAUAUCUGUACUGUGCAUGCAUAAGCCCCCAAAAGGCAAAAGCGCCCGAACACACGGCCCAAAGCCUCUAUGUGUGUCCCGACGGGCCCCAAAGGCCUCUAUCUCAUCUUAUCUGUAUCUCUUAUCUGUAUCUCUUUUUAUCUGUAUCUCUGUAUCUGGAGGGAAGGGUACUGUCUAAUGAUUUCAAAACUGAUAGUAAACAUAUGAUCCCAUCUGAAAUCUCAUUUUCUUUCUAUUCAACAUAUCUCAAGUCUGCUCAAUUCUAAUAUCAUGCUUUUACUCAAAAACGCUAAUAAAAUCAUAAAUCGAACUCAUUCUCAAUCAUAAUAAAUAUCAACACAUAAAUAAAAGUCAAUUCGCUGGAAAAUCAUUAAAUCAACGCAUUAAACAUUUAUUUCUCAAACAUACUGUACUAUAUAAGAAAAUCAGCAUAUACUAUGAAAAUAGGUUUUGUAUAUUCCACUCACAGUGAUGAUGUCUAGACUCAGUAUCAACAACGUCCGCGGGUAGAUUCUCGUUCGCGGAUGCGGAUCCUCCUAAUCACGGAAAACACCAUAAUUAUUCUCCGUAAAAACCAAUUAAUAUAAUAAAUCUCGAAACAAAUAUCUAUUAACGAUAAACUAGUCCCGCAUGUAUAAAAUUACCAAAAUGCCCCUAUAGGCCAAAAUUACCAAAAUACCCCAACAUCAAUAUUUUACCAACUUAUCCUCAAACUUCAUGAUUUUACCAAAUUAUCCUCAUAUUCGUUAAUACCCAUAUUGUCCUCAAUUCAGAUUACAUAAAUUAAUCACAUUGUCGGAAAUUACAAAAUUACCCUCAGGGCAUAAAAUUACCGAAAUGUCCACUGAUUACAUAAAAUUACAAAUUCACCCCAAAGUUUCAUGAAUUUACCGAAUUGCCCCUGCCGGUCAACGGUGACCGGACUUCAGUCAACGAUGACGGGGAGCUUAGGUCUGCUAGUUCCGGCCUCGAUGAAUCCAACGGUGGUGGCAGUGAGUCGCCACGCGCGCUACCGGCGGCGGAUCGAAGUUCCAAAGUUCCGCAAAUUUUCGGAGAUCAUUCGGCGAGUUCCGGGCGUCCCCGGCGGUCGUUGCUGGUCGGGAAAUGUUGCUGGGGAUGUGAGGAACCAGUUCCAAGUGGUGGCGCGUCACAACUCCGGCGGGAUCAACGGCAACGAAAACGGGUCGAAGCCGCGACUUUUCGAGCUCGAUCACCGGCGUUCUGGCCAGUUUCCGGCGACGAUAACAGCAGGGAUACGAUGGUCUGCUUCCAAGCUUCAGAUCGGUACCAAGCACGGCCGGUAAAGUGGCUGGAGUUGGGAGAAAUCGUCGGGUCAAUCCGCGGGUUACUGGGUCGGGUUCUCGGGUCAACGGGUCUGACUUCUCUCUCUAUCUUUCUCUCUCUUCUCGGGUUCUUUCUCUCUAAAAUGGAAAACCCGUUUCCCUCUUUCCAGUUAUACAAUUCUGCCCCUCUUUUUUUUUUUUUUUUUUUUUUUUUAAGCUUAAUACAAAUUAAGCGAAUUUCAGACCCGUUACGAAAAUAAAAUCCGACCAUCGGCGCGUAUAAUCGAGCUCAAUUUAUCCCAAUUAAACUAUAGUGACGAAAUUAAAAAUUAAUAGAGAAGAGGAAAAUAAAAAUCAGCACUUUAUUAAGAAAGUCCAAGUGCGUAUAUUACAAUAAUAUCAUAUGAAACAGAAAUCAAUGAUUGCCUUCUAUCUAUAAUGUUCUUCAAUUACAAAUGAACAACAUUAAUUCAUUAAUCUUGCAUUUAGUCAUAAUCAAAUGGGAAUUAGAUUGAUGGGUGGGGCACACUUGAGCUAUUUGAAUUUCUUCUGCACUAUUUCAUUUAAAAACAUGUAUUUAUAAGCAAUAUUUUAAAAUUUUAAAAUCUUAAAAUUAACUCAAUUAUGUCAUUCUCUAAUUUACGGUUGCAUUUUCUCCCUCAAAAUUGUCAGAUCCUACAAACUAAAUUUUCACUUUCACUCAAUGUUGGACAUUGAUUCUUAAUCUUUUUUAGUAAAUCAUAAUUACAUCUUCAGUUUGUUCCAAGGUUUUUAGUAAAUCUAAUUAUAUAUUACUUUUUCAUUUCAAAGAUAUCGAAGUAAAAAAAAUAAAAAAAAGAUAUCAAGGCAAAAAUAUUUUUUUAUGGUAAAAACACUUGAAACUUUCAAUUUGUGAUGGCCUAUGUAGAAUAUGUGGAUCUGGAUUUGCCCAUUUAUGAGAGACAAGCAUUAACAUUCGCUUGUAGGGGUGGCAAAACGAAAAAUCGAAUCGAAUCGAAUUUUAAACGAAUUGGGUCAAAAUUUUGUGGAUUCGGAUUUGAUUUGUUUAUUAAACGAAUUAAAAUCUCAGGAUUCAAAUUAGAUUCGUUUAUUAAACGAUUAUUUAGUUUAAUUCGUUUAAUAGAUUAAUAAAAGAAUUGAAUCAAAUUCAAAUUCAUUUAUUAUUAAUUUAUCCUAAUAAUAAAUGAAUCCAUAACUAAUCGAAUUGAAUAUGAAUUCGUUUACAAAAAUUAAAUAAAUAAUCCAAACCAUAAAAGUUUUCAUCUUAUUUAUAUAUUGUGUUAUUAUUAUUUAUAAUUACUAGAUUAACCUUCAAAUUUUAAAUUUUUUUUAUAAAUAUUUAAGAAUAAAUAAGUAAUUUAAUUAAACGAAUAAAUUGUAUUCGGUUCGUUUAUAACCCAUUUAUUAAAUGAAUACUAAACGAAUAAACGAAUCAAUGUCUUCAAACCUGAAUUCAAUUCGUUUAAUUAACGAAUCGAACUGAAUUCACCAAUUUAUAAACGAAUCAAAAUUUUCAAACCCAAACGCGUUUAAUUCGCUUCAAAUUGAAUCGAAUAAACGAAUCUUGGUCCAAAUUGCCGCCCCUAGUCGCUUGCAAGAGAACAUUGAAAGAAAAUAUGUUGAGUGGUGAGAAUAUGAUGAAUUGGAAACCGAAAAUAAAGGUUGAUUAGAUAAUUUCAUUUAAAAAAUUCGAUAUCUUUGAGGAUCAGUUUGUUGUGAAUUGGAUGAGAUUAAUAUUCAAGAUUAUGAAUGGAGAAGAUGAUACAAUUUAUCCUUUUAAACAUGCCAUUAGAAAAUUAGUUUUUUUUUUAAAAAUAAAUAAAGUGUAUUUUUUCAUUUUAUUUGGAAGUUUAAAUGAUUGUAGGGUUUUCCAUAUUUUUGCUUUGCUGCUUUUGUGUGAAUACCAUGUAACUCUAUGAGCAACAUUGUUUUAAGGUAGCAUGCUGUAUUUGAUGAGUAUAUCUUGCUAGCUAGUGGUUAUCAGUUCUUUCUGUUAUCUGUUGUUAAGCUUUCACACUAUUUUGUCGGUUGUACAUUCUCAUUUGCAUUUUUGUUUCUUUCUGUGAGUAGUGCACUACAUCUGAUGUGCUAAUGGUCUUUCAACUUGCUUUUGAUUCAAUAAUGGAAGCUUUGGCAUUUAAAUUUCCAUAGUUUCCAUUAGAUUCAGGGGAGCCAUGUCAGAGUUUUGUAAGAGGAGAAAUCUUUAGAUGGCUUUGUGUCAAAAUUUACUUUUAAGGAAUUCUCAUGUUCAUUUAUUCCCAACAUUUUAUGUCCUUCGUCCGUUUGUGUUCAGAGAAAACGUUGAAGGCCUUAAAGGAGAAGGCAAAAGAGCCAGAGGCACCAGAGCCGGAGCCAGAACCUACCACUGAAGUUCUAUUUCUAUGCAGCUAUGAAGGCUGUGGGAAGACAUUUAUUGAUGCUGCCUCUUUGAGAAAGCAUGCUCACAGUCAUGGAGAGAGACAAUAUCAGUGUCACUGGAAAGGUAAGACAUGACGUAUUUAAUGUAGUUUUUAAUAUUUCAUUCAUGAUUUCUUUAGACUGCUUAAAAUCAUGAGAUUCAUCAUACUUCUUGAGGUUUAAAAUAUGAUAAUAGUUUAAAAAAGAAAAGGAAACUAUUAUAUGUAUGCGUAGAGACAAGCUGUUGUGUCUGAUCUUGGACAUACUAUCCAACAUGGCCUCUCUAAAAAUUGUGGGAUGUUGGAUUAAACAAAGUGAGGAAUUUGGGUUUGUGGCCGAGGCCGGGAGUGUUUCUGAGUUGUAAAAAUUUGGGGAACUUCAUGUGUAUGAAAGCAAUUUGCAUCGAUGAUUUGAGUGGGGAAGCAAAGGUACUAUUGAGAAUCAGGUGCUAUCACCAAACAUUUUUUCUUUUGGUGGGUCUUUUUGUGCGGCUAGUUCAAACCCUCUGGUUAAAUAAGAUCUGUCAGUCUGGUUUGGGACUGAAGGUGGUCCAGCCUUGUUCAUGUACAGUCUUUUGUAAACAAUCCUCAAAUUGUUUUCUUGGUAUAUUUAUGUUAUGUUAAAGGCUAAGCCUCAUCACUUUUUUUAUUUCUCUUUUUCUUGAAUUUUUUUUUUAAUUGAUGUCGUUCUUUCAGGCAUAUAAAAAAUGGUUUUUGAAGUAAUUUUGUACUUUUUGAUGCAGAAAUUUUUGGAUAGUUCGAAGUUAAAAGACACUUUCUUAUUCAUACUGGAGAAAGAGAUUACGUAUGUCCUCAUGAAGGCUGUGGUAAGGUGAAGAAUCUAUCCAUCCUAAAGCAUUUUGUCAAAACUUUGCCGAGGCUACCUUAUCUUUUUCUUUUUUCUUAUUGCUGACAUUAUCAUAAGAUAUGAGAAAUAUUAUACAUUUGUUUUCUGCCUGAAACAUUUCUAUUUGAUGAUUGAUUCCAUUGUCUUAUGGUCCCUUGCCCACAAUUUUAAAAUUUUAGGUCAUUUGGUAAAUAAUAUUAAUACCUUGGAUGUUUAAUAAUAUUUUGAAAAGAGAAGUACAGUUUGUUGUACCCUGUGAUUGCUGAGGACAUCAUGGGUUUUAGUAAGCAAGAUUCUGUGAGACGCUUUGAUUGCCAUACAAUAUUAAGUGUCAUGUAUCCAAUCCAGGGGGACCCAAUGAUGUUGAAGUCUCAGGCUGGCACGUGGAGGAUCAUGGAGUUCAGUCUUGAGAAUUGCCACUAUGCAAAAGCCACUUAGGGGUAUUAGUGUAUUUGGAAUCCCCCUAUAACCUUGUUUUAUUUGGACCGACUCUCUGUGAAGACCUCUCCCAUUAUUAUUGAGAAUGAAUGUUCGGUACUUAAUAUCAGGGUUGGUUGUAUUGUAACUUGGAUGGAUCAAAUAUGAGAGACUCAUGUUUUUUCAUCAUCUUGUAAAGGGCAUAGUGCUAAUCUUACCUUGAGGUUGCCGUUUUGGCUUAAGAUGUUACUUUAUUGUACAUUUCUGUAUGUACACGCACUUGUACUUGUACCCAGCAUUUGUGGUGUUCCUAAUUACAAAUAUGAAAUAUGCAGGCGUUCUCUUUGGACUUCAACCUGAGAUCACACAUGAAAACACAUUCACAAGAAAAUUAUCACAUCUGCCCAUACCCAGAUUGUGGAAAGAGAUAUGCUCAUGAGUACAAGUUAAAGAAUCAUAUUGCAUCUCACCACGAAAAGGUUGGUGCUAUUUCCUUGCUGUUACUAUUUUGCAGUACCAACGCCUUUUUAGUAUUUUUCUUUGCUAUUUUAGAUAUUUUUCCUGCUUUUUUUGUUGCAUUUUAAGUUAAUUCCUUUCAUAGAACAUAUCUUAUAUAGUUUAUGACGUGUAAAGCAACAUGACUUCGGUUUCAUCUCAGAUUAUAUUAGUCAUCUGUCAAAAGGAAUUUUACUUAUUUCUUUUCUAAAGAUAUCCUUCAAGUCUGUUAACAAUGGCAACAUAUGAAUGUUUGUGUUCUAGUGGAAUUGUAUUCAUUUCACCUUUAGUAUGGUCAUAGUACAAAUGGUUAUUAUUAUCACUGAAAGAUGUAGUACAGAAACCAUCUGCUAUUUUUCUUAAAACUCUUAAGAUCAUCCCAUGUGUCGCUGGUUGACUUCACUGUAGAUCUAGAAUGGUUAUCAUAAUUAUGUUCUUUUUAUUUUUUUAAUUUUAUUUGAUAUACAUAGGACAUCAAAAUACCAUUCUGCCAACAUGAAUUUCAGAAAUUGAUUGCCAUGAAGCAAAGAUCGUCUGUAUAUAUUUUUUCUCUCAAAACUCGUAUAUCAUAUCUGAUUCUUAGUUUCGAGAUUUGAUUUCUCAGAAUGCUGCAGUGGAGGUGCCCAGAUACGCUACUCCUCCCGAGAGGAUAACAAAAACUCCCAAGCCACCUGCUGGGGUUUAUGGUUCUGCAUCAUCUGAACGUCCUUAUGCAUGUCCUUAUGAAGGGUGUGAAAAGGCAUAUAUCCAUGAAUACAAGCUUAAACUCCAUCUGAAGCGGGAGCAUCCUGGCCAUAUGUCUGAUGAAAAUGCCGAGAAUGCCACAACUAAUGCUAAUAAUGAGAUGGAUGAAGGCAGUGACCAAGAUGCCUAUGCUGGAAAACGUGUUAAUGGUAAAAGUCAAAAACAAAGCCGGGCGAAGCCAAACUUGAAGAUGCCUCCUGCAAAAGUAACGCAACGCAAAAGCUCAACUCCAUCUCCUGCCACCUUGAAUGUAGUGAGAAAGCAACAAUGGACUCCUAAAGAAGAAGUUUACGAGGAAGAAGAUAGUGAAGAAACUGAGGAAGAUCGUGACAAUGUUGAGGAUGGAUUUAGGUACGGGGAAAAUAAUGAAGAUGAUGAUGAGGAGACUGAGUACGAAGACUGAAGCAUAUAAAAAUGUUUCCUUCACCCUUCUGAUAAGGGCACCUUGUAUGUAUCUAACCCUUACAAACAGGUUCUCUGUCAUCUUUUAUCUGCUUGCUUUCAGCAUCUUUUUUUCUCUCAUUGCAGCAUAUAAAUAAAGUUAAAAAUUUUUAAUUUUAAAAUAUUGGUGAUUCGCUAAAGAAUUUCAUAUGACGAAUUUGUGAAUUUUUCAUCUUGGGAUAAACACAAAGCUGAUGCAAUCAACUCAUCAUGCCAAAAUUUAUGCACCUGAGCCGCAUAAGAGACUUGACUGGUAAGCUUGACAAAAUUUCAAUCGUUAUAUCAUCAGAACAUAAAUGAUUUGAAAGAGAGGGGAGACCACAACAUGAAUAAGUUAAUUAGUUAGUGUCAUAAAGAGGGAAUUGGAUUCAUUAAUUGUUGACUUUUGUGCUGGCUCUAACAAAGCUUUGAUCAUAAAUUGGCAAUCCAUUUGGAAAUAACAUCAAUCACCCACUUGUAAUUUCCCAGGCAUGUAGAGCGUAAACCAUUUUACCAGGCAAUGCAUGUAGAACUUAAAUCUAAGAUAUGCCAUGAAAAUUGGAAAAAUUAGGAUAAUUUAUCUUCUCUCUUUUUAAUAUUCCUUUAUUUGAAAAAAAAAAUUGGAUAGGGAUAGAAAUUUCACCCACUACACACUAAUCCUUGAUCCCAAAUCUACUUGUAUUAAUGUUUAUAAUUAAUUUCUUCUAUUUACUACUAGUUAAUAAGGCCACAUAGGUAAGUGCUAUAAGAUUUCGUGCAUUGGAACCCAUGGUUAUGGACCUGAAUCCAUUAGUAUGGAUCAUUUUCUUUUCCAAUUGAAAUCCAUUAGUAUAUGGAAGAGUGAAAAAGUACUUUCGUUGUUAUGGAAUAAGAAGUCUUCGUAGCUUAAUGCAUGUAUUUAAUGUAUUCGGGACUAUUAGAACUUAUUACUCAAACUUAAGUUAUUGUAAUUGCAAUAAAUAUUCAUGGCUGGUUGAGCUACACCCAAGAGGCUCUUUAUCCUCUCAUUAUAUUGUCAUUAGACUCUCUUUGUAAAUAAAAACAUCAUCCGGAUCGGUAAUUUAGAGAUCCCUAAUUUCUUAUGUAUGAAUUCAACAUAUAUAGAUUUUUAAAUAAAUGCGCCAUUCUUCCACAAUCCAUAAUGUCUAGGAAUACUGAAGAAAGGUCCAAUACUAAAUAGCGAUCCAUUUGACGAUCACAUAUUUCUUCAACUAUUUCUUCUGGAUGUGUACACUUGAUCAUUCGACAGCUUACCGUACUUUCUCAUCCCACGAGUCAUCAUUCGACAGCUUACCGUACUUUCUCAUCCCACGAGUCUUGUACCAAUAAUCAACUUAAAAGAACCACUCGGCUCAGCCUGAGUGGCCAGGGCUGCUGCCCUCCAACUUGGAGGACAGUAGUUCGAACCCCAACAAAAGCAUUGUGGGGGUAUUUCUUUCCUCAAUUAAUUGAGUGAAGGCAGUCUUCUCCCUUACCCAUGAGUGAGGAGUAGACAUCCCUUGAAUAUUUGUGAGGGUUAAAAUCUGGGCAGAGCUCCAUUAACAUUGAUGUAAGUUGGUCUUAGUAAUAGUCUGAUUUGUAAAUAUCAAUUAUAGUCUCAUGUAAUGAGUUGUAAUCUGAGCAAUAGUCUCAUGUAAUAAAAAAAAAUAAUCAACUUAAAAGUCAUUGUAUAAUAUGCAAAAUAAACCAUCAUAUUAGUCCACGAAAUUGUCAAAACGUCUUAUAAUUUGGCUUUCAAUAUCUUCAUAUGAUAAAUUAACUUGUAAGCGUUUCAUCCUGGAAUAAAUACGAAGCUGAUGCAAUAAUUUCCUUACCAAAUUCCACAGAAUCAACGAAUGCAUUAAUAAAAAGACGAGUUUCAGCAUUGUUGUUCUGGAGAUGUGAGAUUCGAAUCCCCGCAAAUGAGUAGCCUGGGAAUUGGAUUGCCGUUACCUAAAUUAACCCAAAAAAAAAGCUUAAUUUAUUCUUAUUUGAAUUCUUUUUCUAUCAAUUUAAAUCACAUAAGUAGAUAUUUUGACCGAGUGUUUUUCAAUUAAUAUGAUUUGGUUGGCUAUUCGAGUUCGAUUAUAGGAGAGGUAAGGAGCUAAAAUUUUAAUUUGAACUCAGCUACCCCUCUAUCUUUUUAAAAGUACAAAAAUAAAUUUAACAAUCGUUUAAAUUUACAUAAUUUAAUUAUCUUUUGUUUCUUUGCCGUAUCAGCUGCUUAAGCAAGCAUAAGUGCAGGUGGUCAACAGUGAACAGUAACACGGUUUGCACACGGCGAAUAGUAACACGGUUUGAACAGUAACGGUUUGAAUAGUAAUAGUUUGAACAAUAAUGUAGUUUAAACAGUAACACAAUUUAAACAGUGUUAUACGUUUGGUUAUAAAUAGAGAGGAGAGGUUAGAGCUUGAAUCAUCCCAAUUUUGAGAGAAAUUGCAAGUGAAGCAAUUUGAGAGUUUUGAGAAAGCUUUUACUUGAGUGUCAGGAGGAUUCAAUUAGGUGUAUUGAGAUUGUGGGUAUUGAGAGUUUUUUUCCACUUUCGUAAAAUUCCAUUAUUAGUCAAAUUAUCUUCCGGUCUUUGUCCGUGGAUAUAGGGAUUACGCCGAACCACAUAAAUUAUUGUGUCAUUUUCUUUGCAUUUGUUUACAUAACAUUUAUAUUUCUCUAGAAAUUAGAGUCUCCGUAAUAUUGGUAAUUGCUCAACCCUGCACUUCUGCAACAAGUCAAACAUUCAUAGAAAUAAAAUAUUAAAUUAAAAUGAGGGAAAAAAAAAUUACAGUGAUUUAUUCUUGUUAUUUCAUCAUCCAUCCAACCGUGGACAACUCAAGGACUCGGCAACAAAGCUGUUGUAUUACCUACGGUCUACCCAAGAAGAAAGCCCUCGUUUAGCGAAUGAGACUAUUUAAUCCACCAAAUUAAGUAGUCUUCAAACUUAAUUUCUCAAGAGGGGGAAAAAAAACCUAUUAGUCAAGCGGGGAUCAAGGAUCCUCAUCCCACCCUGAAUUAAUUAUGAUGGGAUACGUACGAGGACGCCGAUUCUGGACACCUCGCAUGUCUUUCACCUCUUCCUCGUAUUCUCCAUAAUUUACUUGAUUGAAAGUUUUAAAUUUCCAUUUCGAUUGGCUUUUCAGUCUCGUUAGGACAUAUUGUUCGAUCCAGCAAUGCUACGGAACCUACUCAAUAUUUUGAUCGCACCGAUACGUGGUUGAUCGUGAUCCGGCCUGUUCCCUCGCAUUGCAACAAAAUUAAACUUGUAGCGUCAGAAUCAACGCAUAGAAUGACCUCCAUUAGCAGAUAAUCAUUCAAGCAUUUAAGAAUUGGCCUAGUGCCGUCUCUGGCAUUUAAGAAUCAACGCAUACUUGAAUCGAUGAACAUGACACAAUAGUGAUAAAACAACUGUAAAAUAAUAAUAUGGUGUAAUAAUGUUAAGUAAGAAAUUAGGAAUUUUUUUUUCUUGAACAACACUAUAACGGAACAGGAUCUUCUUUUGAUUUGAGCAUUACUGAGCUUUUAAUAAUCUUUUGUCAUAUGUCUUUUAGUAGUAAUAUAUGGGUAACAUUUAACUUCUUUUACUUUUUUAUUUAUUAACAAACAAUCAAUAAUUGAUUUAUUUGCUCAGGACAUGAUCAGAUCAGGAGAGAAUCCUGAUCCCACUAUAACACCCUACAUUUUCACAAUCAUUUUGUCGCUGUUUUGUCACUGUUAGGACAAUUCUUCAUUUUUCCUGGCGUUUAUUGCUCAGUAUUUUCUUUACUGUGUGAUUGUUUCCAUCUGAAUUAUUCCUUUAUUUCGUAAUGCAGCCUAUAAGUUCAAAGCUUUAACCAGGGUGAUAUAUGCUUGGAAAUAUUCCUCGCGUGGUAGGUUAUGUUGGCCUCUACCAUGUUUUCUGCCACCUUAUGCCUCAAAAAAUAUGUAUUUGACCUUCAACAGAGAUUUUGCCAGACCACAUCCAUUUCGUUAACCAAAGAUAUAUUACUGCUUGGCUAGAAAAACAAAUUAAAUAGAGAAAACACAAUUAUAUAAUUAGAACUUAAUUAGAAGGAAGAAAUAAUUAACUAAUUAAUUGUAAUAUAUAUGAAAGAAGAUAAACUAGUAAGUGCUCGUGUCUAUGAUAAGGUGAGUACCUAAACACAUGAUAGAAUAAUUUUAUAACUCUUUGUAAAUUAUGGACUAAUAGGAUUAAGUGAACAGCAUCGCCUACUGAAUUAUUACACACUACAAAAAAUAUGUUUUAACUUUGGAUCCUAAAUUUGGUUAAAGUUCGAAAAAAAAAAUUAAACUGUUUGGUUUAAUAAUGUAAAGAUUAUUAAUGCUAUUAAUCUUUAAGAUCCGAACGACCCAACACAUUGCUACAGAGCCCAAAUAAUAUCUCCAGGGCAACUGGAUAGUGAACUCGGCCGAGCAAUGCACGAAACAAAAUUUCUAGCUUUACCAUCAACACAUAGUGUCACCUCCAUUAGGAGAGACGUGUUCAGGCAUUUAUAAAGUGGCGUAGUGCCGUAUCUGGUGUUUAUCGCUCGAGUAUAUUUCCGUGGAUUGAGUUUGUCUCCAUCUGGAUUUAUGCCUGCACCUCGAAAUGCGGCCUCCAAGUUCGCAGCUUUAACCAGUGUGAUAGCAGUUCGAAAAUAUUCCUCGGGCGGCAGGGUAGGUUGGCCUCUGCCAUGAUGCUUCCACUCCCUCUCCCAAAAUUGUUCAUUUUCAUUUUCAUCUCGGGUAAGACUUGGCCAGAACUUGUUCAUCUCGGCAGCAAAAGAUUUAUUGCUUUCUAGCUACAAAGAAAGAGUAAAAAUUAAUUAAUAAAUGACCGUAGAAUAAUGUAUUGGAAAAACUAUAUAUAUAGCCCAUGGGAGUGAAGCAGGUACCAUGUCUUGUAAAUUAAUAGUUUGAUUAUUGGUAUUUGUCGAGGACCUGCCGGAAGAAUUUACUGGCCAGAGGCCGUGUAGGACGAAUUUUGAUGGCUUUAUUCUGCAGGGCUCUGGCCUAUGAACCUGGCAGUACACAGGUGGCCACGUCUGGACUAGAAAAUAUUGAUGAAAAUCUUGUGCACCACCGGAGGCGAAUGCGAUGCAGGAAACAGAGAAAACAAAGAAGAUGAACGAGAAACUACUCUUCAUUUUGAUUAACAUUAAUUUGACAAUACUAAAAUGCAUAAGAGUAUAACUGACACAUAAAUAGAUAAUAUUAAGCAGUGGUAUGAUAAAAGGAAGAUGGGUGCAUGUACAAACUAAUUAAUGUCAUCAUAAAUAAUUUUAAUAAGGACCAUCCCCCCCUGCUUAAUUUGUUUUCUUUUUGUUUUGGGAUAAAUUGGUAAUUUUCACUUCAUUCCUUGACAGCUGUUGACCUAUUUUUUUUUUCCCUCCCUAAACAAACUAAUUCCAUUGUAAAAACUGAAUCCUAAAAAUCAUCUGAAACACACAACUCCAAUUAUCAUUCGGACCAUAGAAUUUUCUCUUAUUUUGAGCAUCUCUUCCCAUAAUUAACUUGUGGUUCCCCUCUAUCGCAUUCUUCUAUUAUAAAGCAUUUUAGAUGUUACAUUAUAGAAUCAAAAUUACUGAUUAUAUUUACAAUCAGGAAGAGAUAAUAAUGUUGACAACCAAUAUCAAUUCUUUUCCCGAAGAUAUAACGAUUGAAAUUCUGUCAAGAUUGCCAGCUAAAUUUGUUUUGCGAUUCAGGUGCGUUUGCAAGUCCUGGCUUGAGUUAACUAAGAAACCUUCUUUCAUUUCCAAGCAUUUCCAAAACAAUAGUACAAGAACUCGUCUUUUCGUUGAUGCAUCUGUUAGUUCUACGGUAUUUGGUAGGGGAAUCGUUACAUCAGCUUUGUACUUAUUCCAUGAUGAAAAACUUGCAAAUUUAUCAUAUGAAGACAUUAAACCCCAAAUUCAUGAUGUAUUUGUGGGCUAUCAUGAUGGUUUAUUUUGCAUAAUGCAGAGUUCAACGAAUCGUCUAACUAUAUGGAAUCCAGCAACAAGAGAAUUUAGAAACCUUCCAAAUUAUAAAUAUUGUAAUUCUUCCAACAGUGUAAUGUUAUAUAGUACUUUCAUCGGACUUGAAUCUGAUCCCAUAAAUAAUGACUUUAAAUUGCUUUUCGUACACAACUUAUGGAAUGAGAAAAGGAAAAGGUAUGGUAAGGUGCCAAAUGUUCAAGUGUACACAUUCAGAACAAAUAGUUGGAGAGAAUUAUAUGAUCAUCAAUUGGAUCGUUAUUUUGUAUUAGGCGAAGGUCAAUUUGGUAGGUUCACGUACUUGAAGAAAGUUUGUUAUUGGUUGGUAAUCUCGGAUACUCGAGACCUAAAAGUGAUUCUUUCAUUUCACAUGGAUAAUGAGGUGUUUGAAGAAAUAAAAAUACCUCCACAAGUAAAUUAUGACACGUCUAUAAGUUUAUAUAAAGACUCUCUCUCAAUUGUAAUCCCAGAUGCAGAGAAUUGUUUUGAGAUAUGGGUGAUGAAUGACAGUAAGUGUUGGGCAAAAAAUUUUACCCUUGGACCCUUCUUCAAUCUUAAUCUUCCAACAAAUCAUGGAUUCUGGAAGAAUGAUGCCUUUUUUUUAGAAUCAGACAUUAGGACUGAUAACGGUCGCCAUUUUUUACGUUGCCUUUUAUUAUAUGACCAUAGUGCGAAAGAAAUUAAGGAUCUCCAACUCACAGAACCAAGAGAUGUUUUCAUCUAUAAAGAGAGUCUGAUGACUAUACAAUGAGAGGAAAAAUAUUUUAUGAUAAAUUGACCUAUAUGUCAUAAUUUCAGAGUUUUUUUUUUUUUAAUUUUUUUGGUUCAUCAUGAUCAAGAGCAUAAUAGAAAGUAUACGUGGAUGAUUGGUGGUUGGUUCGCUUUACAAUACCUAGGCCUUUGGCAAACUAUAAAUUAGGAUCUUACUUAUUAAUUAUUAGAGUAAAUUUUUGGGGUAAUAUAUACGUAUUAUGUAAAAAUUUGUUGUUUAAUGUUGUCUUUCGUUUUUCUUCGAAUGAGAAAUAACAUGAGUGGUGCUAUAUAUUCUAAUUUUUUAUCCCAAAAAACUAUCUCAAAUGACGUGACAUUCAUCAAUUGUUUGGCCAGAAUAAUACAAUUAAUUCACUUGAAUUUUGCAAAGAAUUACCAACCCAACAAUGAAUAACAUAUUAUUUGAGAUGGAAUUUAGGAUGAAAAUUUUGAGAUGUUUAUCAUUAUUCUUAGUACUAGUCUUUUCAUAUAAAUUUUUUUUUCUUAAAACAAAUAAAAAAUACAAUAUGUUGUACAAAGGAAAAUCACCGGCAACAAGGUCCAAAUAUUCUUAAAAUCGCGAUAAUGCAAUCAAGGCUACAGUCUGAUCCUUAUAAUGAGAAUGCGUGGAGUCCUGUUUACCCUCAAAAUGAAUCACCUAAAGCCUCACGUCAGGUCUACAUCUACAAUAUCUUGGUUGUCACUCACGCUUCAUCAAAUGGAUCUUUUCAUUCAGAGACCUAACUUUCACAAUUUCUUAUUGUUAAUAACAUGUAUCAAGGCGUAUAGUUUAGUCUCUUUCCUUUUUAGUCAAAAUUAUUUUGCAUAUAUAUUUUUGAUAAUAUUUGUAAUGAAGACAAAUCACCCACGAUAAUAUUGUUUGUCAAUAUUAUGUCUUUCUGAUUGUAAAUAUCAGUUGAUGAUAAUUAUGUAAUAUAAUAUUUAAAAUGUUAAUAAAAGAGGAAUGCAAUAGAGGAGAGCCACAAAUUAAUUAUAGGACGAGAUGCUCAAAAUAAGAGAAUUUUACGUGGAGAAUGAUUAUUUGAGUUGUUUGUUUAAGAUGAUGUUUAGGAUUCAAUUUUUAUGAUGGAUUGGUUUAUUUAAAAGGUUAAAAAAAAAAGGUUAUAUGUUGUCAAGUGCUUGGUUCUUUAAGUACAGUAAACAAAAUAACUUACAUUUAUUCACGUUUUCACGAAAUCUCUAACUAAAAGACGGGCGCCAUAUCUACUUUGGUCUGGCUUUAUUGCUCCACCGGCCACCGGUGGUGGUGCAUCGCCACAGUCGGUGUCUUCCCACCUCUCUGGCCAGCCGCCUUCUCACCAACAGCCCCCAACACAGCCACCCUCACCUCCAACCACUCGCUCUAGAUCGCGCAAUACUACCCAAAACUCAAAGCGCACCGCUGCCGUUUUUCCUGCAGUCGGAGAUGCUGCCAAACAACCUCCAUUGCCACCUUUGACCAACCCCCAAGCAAUCUUGCUCUCACUGCCAUCGUAACAGCCCCCAACAUAGCCACAAAACCGUAGCCAUCCCUCGCAUGUUCAGACUCCAAAAAACACCACUUACACACCGUUGCCUCCACCGUUGCCUCACUCCGACCUAGCCCAGCCACUUCUAUUGUCCCAGCUGUUGUAAAUCAGCAAUUUUCCACUGUGGAUUCCAAUUAUGUUGUCAUUGGACCACUUUAUGGACACUAGAACCUUCAAGUCAUGACUACCAUAAACCCAAGCUGCUAUAUAUCUCACCAAGCACUCGCUGCCUCUCUCUUGGCCGCCGCAAGUGGCACCAUAAGCCUAUCGGCCACCACACAAUAGUCACCUUUGCCCUCCCACUCUCACCUACGACCUCUCUCGUCAUCAAACUUUCACAACACAGUGGUUGCUAUUCAAAAUUGUGAUCAGCUGCCACAUCCAACAAACCUUAGAUAUAACUCACAAAACCCUAGCCAACACCCAGUUUCCCAAAACUAGACACAAAACCCAACCUUCCAAGGAAUCCAAAAUCCAACCCUAACCCAUGACCCUUUUCCACCCCUCACUCUUUGGCUGUACUUCCAACCCACCCACUAAAGCCUCUUAUGAAUCUGUUACUAAUCCUGCAGCUAUCCUCAACCCCAAUCCAAUGCUGUUGUUGGAUGAUUUUUAUUGUUAUUGGUGUCAACGUGCAAAUGGACACAACAAGUAAUAUACUGAUGAAUAUUCAGAUUGUCUCCACAAAGAUUGAUGUUAUCAGAUUUGCUACAGUAAUCUUAACAGUGUAAAUUCAAACUAAAUUAAAAUAAGAUAAUUAAUGAAACUAUUGAACUAAAAAAAAUAAAAUUGCAGUAAAUAAAAUGCAAGAAGGAAAAUUUUCAAGCCAAACUCGAGGAUGUAAUCAGUGGGAAAUGAAUAGUUGAGUGAUUAAACUCACUUAAUGAUAUUGAUUGUUUUUCUAAUUAAGAUCUGGUUACUACAACAUCUAUUGCAGUACUGGGUAGAAUCCUUUAUGCAUCUUCGAUUGUCGCUUGUUGGAUAUCUUAUAUUUAAAUGCAAAUUAACAGUGACAAGUUGUUAUGCUAACAUUAGAUAUAACAUUAUGCGUUUUAGAUUCUACUUGCCCUACAAAGUGAAUUCCUAUGUUUAGUUCUUCAUUAAUUUUAGAUUAAGCAUGACCCUAUUCAAAUUAAAAUUAACUCAACUUGGGAAAUCCAAUCUAAAACCAAGUAUUAUCUUAAUUUGCUCUACUAAAUCAGACCUUUUUUAAUCUCCUUCUAAGAUAGUAUCCAUUAAAUGUGUGGUCAAUCGAAAUACAGAAUUGCAAUAAGUAAAAUUAAGAUAAAAUGCUAUAACAAAUACAGAGUAACACAAAUAUAUAAGUUAAUUAACUAUUAAGUUUGUUUGUCACUCAACCAAAAUAAAAUUUAGUUCAUGAUUUGUGAUAAAACAAUAAUAAAAAUAGUUUUAGCCAUUAAAUACAUUCCUAUAAAUAAAUGAAAACAAGAAAAUAAGAAGAUAAAUUAUGUUCUGCUUAGUCUUAGUGAUUUAUCCUCUGUUCUCCUUGAAUCUUUUGUUUUAGCCUUGAAAUCUCUCUUAUCCUCGCGUGUUUAAACUCCAAACAACCCCACCGUUGCUUCAUCUUUUUUGGCCACUGCUAACACCACCCAUAUACCGUUGCCACCACAUUUGCCUCACCCCGUCCCAGCCGCCACUAAACAGUAAUUUUCCACUGUUAGAUUCCCCUUAUGUCGUCAUUGGACCACUUCAUAGACACCAGAAUCUUCAAGCCAUGACUAACGUAAACCUUACCUGCUAUAUAUCUUACCAACCACUCGCUGCCUCUCUCUUGGCUGCUGCUAGUGGCACCAUAAGCCUGCCGGCCCCCACACAGUAGUCACAAUUGCUCUUCCACACUCACCCACGACUUCCCUCCUCAUCAAACUUUAACACAACAAUAGUUGUUAUUCAAAACUGUGAUCAGCCGCCGUAUCCAGCAAACCCUAGCUAUAAAUGACAAAACCCUAGCCAACACCCAGUUUCCCAAACCUAAAAUUAAACACAAAACCCAACCUUCCAGGGAAUCCAAAAUCCAGCCCUAACCCAUUACCCAUUUCCACCCCUCACUUUGGCCUUAUUUCCAACCCACUCAUAAUAGACAUGUAUUGAUUAAGCUUCAGCUUGAAGAUGAUUACUCUCAUAUUUGGGUUAGGCUGACCUAAUAUGUUAGUCGCAGGUCCAUACUCACUUUUAAGUGGUCUACAUCUUUUAAGUGCUCUGAGAAAUAUCUUGUUGUUCCUAUUUGGGAGUCUUUACCUUCUUUACCUAUGUGUUUCACUCAUUGCAAAAAUGCUUUAGAAGCCCAGCAGUGUAUUGGUUAGGUGUUGGAUACAAUUGCUCGUGAUAAAGGUAAAAUGCCUAUUCGUGAUGUUGUUGUGUAGCUUAUAAUGGAUUGUGCUACAUAUGUGGUUGCUAUGGACAAUCUACCACAGGGGCCUACUCUAGCCCAGGGUCAGUCUUUGGGCCUAGUUUCACAUCUCAUUUCCGAUAAAGGUACUUGUUUGGAUGCUCAACCACUUAUUCUAUUGCACAUGGUAUUGUCAAUGUUGUGUCUGAUUCGAUUUCUACUCUACAAACUCAAGAUGAUAAUGGUUUGCGGGAUAAUACUUUUCAGAGAGAUGUUGUUGGUUGUGCUGAGGUCACUAAUCCUCCUGUUUUAAAUAAUCCUAGUGUUCAGAGGGCUUCCAUCAGUUUUACUUUUUUGUCAAACUGCAGUGGUUGAUAUCCGCUCCAUGGUUGUGGGUUUUACUUCCCAUUCUACAUAUAUCGCUUUUCAGUCAGUGAGGAGUUUGGUUCUGAUGAGAAUUUUGUGGCUGAUGAGUAUUUUGCGCCUAAGCCUAAAAGUACUAGGGGCAUGAUCUUAACGCUAACUUUAGUGUUGCUAGCCCAAGUGCGUCUGGUUCUAGGAAAUGUCUCAAAUUAAACACUAGUUGCAAGUAUCGUAAGCGGCUCUCUUAGCAUUCGUAUUAAUUAGUUAUUUGUAAUAUCUUAUUUGUUCUUUUAUCACUUUGUUAUUUUUCCAUUUGUUGGUCGUACUUCUCUUGCCUGGAGGUUUUGGUCUAUGUCCCCCUCCAUAUGUAAUCUUUUUUAAUUUAUUAAUCUACAAGUUAGGGGGUCCCGCCUAACCCCCCACCCUUGGGUGGUUUUUAAUUUUUUAAAAAAGGUGCUUGGUUCUUUAAAUGCUUGGGUGGUAUAAGUUAGUUCAAUGGUUAAAGAGAAUGGGUGUGUUUCAUGGUAGAGUAAGGAAGUUUUGUAAGCGGUUUAGUAAAUAUUAUUUUUUGAACAUGUAUUCAUAUUAUGUGUGUUUAAAGGAUGAACAAAUUUGGAAGUAGAACUGAAAGUAGGGAGUAAAUCAUACCUUAAAGGAGGCUUAUUAGAGAUCAAAGUAGAAGAUUUAUUAUCUGUAAUGGUUGCUAUAUUAAAGGAGUUAACACUUGAAGUUGCAGUAGCACAUGUUGUGUUAAAUAAAGAAGAAGUGUUUGACUUAAACACAUAUCGUGGAGAAAUAGAUGGGCUUACAAUUCUAGAUAGUUGACGAGUUAGAUUAUAAAUGUUAUCAGAAGAAAAAAAUGCAAAAUAAAGUAAAGCAUGCAACAUGAAGCAUGCAACAUGAAACAUGCACAAUAAAAUGGAGCAUGAACCAGGAAGCAUGCAUAGUAAAGUGGAGCAUGGAGCAAUUAGUAUGCAUAGCAAAGUAGAGCAUAGAGCAGGAAGCAUGCAAAGUAAAUUGGAGCAUGGAACAAAAAGCAUGCCAAGUAAAGUAGAGCAUGGAACAAGAAGCAAGCAAUAUGAAGUGAUUGCGAAUCUAGAAAGAAAAACAUAAAAGUUUCGAAAAGUCAAUUUGGGGAAGGAGAUAAAUAUAAAUUUUGAAAAAAAAAACAUUGACAAAGUAGUGAAAGCUUACUAGAAUAAAAAGACAUUAAUGACUUAAAUAUCCAAAAUUGUAUUAUAAAUAGAGGGGCCCUUAAAGCAUGGGGAGGACACAAGCGAAUUCACAGGCAAAUACCUAAAAAAAUAACUUAUUGUGAUUGUCUAUCUUGAGAUUUAUUAAUAAGAAUAAAUGAUGUAAGGUUUCAUUCAAAUUUUACCCUUGUAUUUUCAUGGGUAAUUUUUGGGAUGUUACAAAUAACGUCAACAAUAGGAUUUUAAAGAAGAGGAAACAAACGACCAUUUUGAAAGUGUAAGAUCAUUGACUUUGUCUCUUAAUUUAUAGGAUAAUAAGAUGGAAAGCGGUCUUAUACAAAUUUCACAUGCUGAGUAUGAAAGAUUUGGUUAUUUGUAAUCAAAGUAGAUAUAUAAAUUGUAAUAAUGAUAGAAUUUCAACUUAAGUAUCAAUGCUAAUAAUCUCACUCAUCCAUUGGAUAAUACAUUUCAUAACUUACAAAAUUACUGAACCACCAUUCAAUGGAUGAAUGCCUCAUUAAUCGGAAAUUGGGGCUCAAAUUAGGACUUAAAUGUUGGGAUGCCUAAUAUUGCUCUAUGUAUUGUGAACGUUGGAAUAUCCUAAAAACAUUGACUUAGGAGUGUUUAGAGACUUAUCAUGUUUGGAGGUUAGCAAUGAAAAUGAAUGUGAACAUUUGGAAAGGAUAGUCAAAGUGGGAAGCAAAAGUCAAAAUUAACAGCCCAUUUGUUUGAAUUAACUGUACUGUUAUAGAAAUAGGUAAAUAAUGUAUAAUAUAUGGUUAAAAAGAUAAUUUUGCCUAGUUUUUAGGAAUUUUACGGAAUCCAAUUUGGACUUCUCUUCUUAAAGAAAUUCAAGAUUUAGUUAGGAACUGUCACAGUUGUCAAAAUUUUGCAUAAGGCCGCAAGUUCUGAAUUUACUGGCAUCAAUGCAUCAAGUUCUAUCCAACAAGCUUCAUAUCUCUGAAAGCUCUUUGACUUAAGAGUUUAAUAAAUUUUACAAUGUUUGAUUUGGAGUUUUCUAUAAAUGAGUAUUGACUGCUCACAUUUGUUGAUCAAACAGACUUAGUAGUCAAAUUGAGAUUUACUUUGCUCUUUUCCACCUCAUGGCAGCUAAGACUUUUAAUUCAAGUUUGAUUUGAAUUCUAGAUAAUAGAAAUAUUAUCCUAAGUUUGGAGGGAUGUUCUAAGUUACCUUUAUAAAUGUAUUAGGUUGUAACUUUUAAAUGAGGGUGAGUGAUUUGAGAAUAUAGCCUAGAAGAGUUCUCUUUUUAGAGUUCCUUCUUUAAACUCUGUAUCUCUUGGGUGGAUUAUGUUGAGCGGUGAGUUGAGAAGCCAUGUAUCUCUUUUAGGAUAUCAUUGGGUGGUGAAUCUCUGUAUUCCUUUGUAACCAUGUUGAGUGGUAGAUGUUGUUAGAUAAUAAUAAAAGUUUAUUCUAAAAUUAUGUCGAUUUCAAACAUGCAUAGUUUUGAUCUUUGCUCUGGUUUAUUUUUUGUGUAAGGACAUAGCCAAGGGUAACAAAGGUACCUGAAAACCCAAAACUUAUGAUAAUUAGGGAAAGUAUUAAAUAAACAUUCAAAUGGAAGACCAACAAAUACAUGUAUGAUGUGUAUUUGAAUUAAAUAGAAUCACUACUUGUGUGGAUGUCUUUCAAAAUAAAUACGCACAUGUCAUAACAUCAUAUGCAUAUCAUAUAGUUGAUAUGGUAUUUCAAAUGUAUUGUAGAAUUUCUCCAAAUGGAGAUGCUGGGACAGGCAUCUGAAGGCGUCUUUUAAGGUAACGUGUUCAUCGAUUUGCUAUUUUUUUAGUAGCAACAAAAGCAUAAGGCCAUAUGAAUAAUGGAAGUGAGGCUCAAUGAUGAAAGGUGAGAUCCGUCUCAACGAUGUGUCAAUGACGACCCUCGGUAGAGGCAAGGUAUCGUGGCUCAUAUGGGGGUAAAAUGAGAUAUCAUAUUCCAUGAGAAGAGAGAAAAUUUUUUAAAACUUGAUACUUGAUUCCACCAUUUGUGUAAAUGGUAUUUAUGGAGUUGCUGGAAAAUUUAUCCACCAUAGUUUUAAACUUGUGGAAAAUAUAAUAAAUAUCAUAUUUUUGUUCACUAUGGAAAAUCACCAGGAAUACUCUAUGAAUAUAACUGUCAUGCACCGCUUGUGCAAUAGAAAGCUAUACGUGGCUUAGUAAACUAAAGUGGCAAGUUGUCUACUUUAUGUAAGAAGACUUGUCUACUUUACUAUCUCUUUACAUGCAUGUGUCACUUGUUUCACCUGUCAGCUUCACCUUCACACUUGGAUUCGGUUUGUAUAUAAUGUUGAAAAUUAAGACCUACUUGAUAAUUAGAGGUCAUUUGCAAUUGAGACUGAAGAAGAGACAGUGAGAAAAGAAAAAAAAAGAAAGAAAAGAGAAAAGGAAAACAAGAAGAAAGAAACAAAAAACUAAAAGUGAAAAAGAAGUUGAAAAGAGGAAUUGAGAGAAAACGUUACAGAAAAUAAAAUUGGGUAGAUAGAUCUAUACCCAGUGAGUCAGUGGGUAACUGAUUUAUGAAAUUUGAAUAAUUAUGAUUUAGUUUACAUAACACAAAUAUAAGUUUUUGUAUAAGUUCUAACAGUUAAUUUUUUAAUCCUGUAUUUUAGGAGAAAUCUGAGAAUCCAGGAACUCAAAAUAGCCCUAACAAACCCCAGAGUGAAACAAGAUCUGUAAGUCGAUACUAUUAUUACUAUUAUGUAUUCUCUGAAGCAUUUAUACUUAAUAGUAUGAUUUAAUAUCAUGUUAUGAUUAUAUGUGUAAUAUUAUGCGUUUGAUUGAGUCAUGAGAUGUGAUUGCUAGUCACCAUAUGUGUACCAUUCCCAGAGGCCCUGCGCAUGCUUAUUGAGAGCUAUGUUACUCUACCUGGGCGAUCUAGUUAAAUCAUGUUGGAUAUUGACAGGUUUUCCCCUACUCUACUCAUGUGAUGAUGACCUCGGCGAGUAUUAAAAGUUAUUUUCCUUAUGUACUAUUUAGUGCAGUUUUUUCAUGUAUGUAUGUAUGAUUUUAUGAUUGCUUAGGUAACGUGCACUAGUGUAUUACUUUAUUUUUAUAUGUAUAAUUAUAUCCAUUCACUAAGCCAGCUUGCUAUUUUCUUAUUUACCUUAUUUCUCCUAAGUUUUUGCUAGAUUUCAUGCAGUUCAAUUUCUGAUCAACUAAGGUUGGGCCACGACAUGCAUGGCUGCAUCACUUAUAUUUUGAGCACAUUUAUAUUCAUAUAUAAAUAUUUAAAAUGCACGAGUAUAUAGUGAGAUUUGAAGUAUGAGAAGUUUGAAUAUGUUUUCGGAUGAGACACAGAUGUUAUUACAUGUUUAUAGUAAAGGCUCGAGGUCAUUUUUUUUUAUGUUCAUGAAUUAAGUUUAUGUUAUGAGUAUUAGAUUUCAGAUCACAUGAUUCGCCUUAGAUCCAACAUAUGGAUUGGGACGGGUCGUGUCAAUAACAUAAUAGAUAGUCCAUUUAUUGAACGAAUAAAGUAGAGACACCAACAGGCAACUUGUGACUUUUGUUACAAUUGCAAGAAUCAAAAAAUGAAAAUUGACCUAACAACACAUAGAGUUUAUUCGUAGACACUAUUUGACAAAGCACUUUGGAUGACGGAUGGCCAAGGCGACCACGGCAAGUGAGUGUAGUUUUAACACUAACAGAUGGCACAUGCAUGCUUCUCUAACAGCUAAGUCUCCUUUAUGCUAGACUACUCAUACAUAUUAUUCAUGCCCUGUCUUCAAAUGAGAAGUGCCCCGAUGAUGAAAUCCUUGAUACAAAAAGAAGUGGGGUCAAAUUCAAUAGAUAUUGAUGGUGCGAAAAGGUGAAAAACUGAUGAAAGAUAGAGAAAUAAAAUUUCAAAAUAACUAAGAUAUUAUGGAUGAAUUUAAAUAAACAGAACUAGAGUUUUAAGCCAUUUUAUAUGAACUCUAAAUAUUACAAAUUUACUAAAAUAUAUAAACUCAAAAUUAUUAUUUUAUAAUAAAACUCUCAUAGUCUAAAUAAAGAAAACAAAAUAAACAGCAUCAAAUCUAAUAUCUAGAGAAAAAAUAUAAAAAUCUUGAAAGCAAUAGGAAAAAUAACCAAAUAUUUAAAAUUACAAAACGACAGUGAAAGAAGGGAAUUUCUAGCUUGAGAUACAGUGGAAAGUCACUAAAGCAGGUCCGAGUUCGGUUUAUCUCGUUGCAAGCUUUAAAAUGAUAUAUUAUACACCGCAAACAAAUACUUGGAGCUCAUGUUAUGAUCUUGGGAAGGUGCCCUGUUCGUCUUAAGCAGCCAUCGUACAAAAAUGUAUUCUUAGUUUUAUAAAAUUGUCAAAUAGAUAUUAAAUUUGUUGCAUUUUAGGAGCAUAUAAUACAUCAUGAAGUAAAAAGGAAGUAGAUGAAGCAAAGAUGAAAGAGUUUCUAGUGUGUGUGAUUUUAAUACCUACUCCACAACCAAUAACAAUGAUGUCAAGACCUUUCAUAGGAUUCUCGAAGGGAGACUAUGUUUGUAUCAUAUGUGAUAUGAUGAGAGGCACCAUUGUCAAGGAGCCAAAUAGGUUGAUUCCCACGAUUAUUACUUGUGGUAUCAUGGUUAGCCUUGGGCGGUUUUGGCAAGCCCAUUAAACGCUUCAAUGUGUAGCAUUCUCAAGCGUCAUGACCACAUUUUCCACAAAACUAACAUAUGAUAUUUGAUUUUUUGCUGGAGUUGUUGCCUUAAAGGGAUUCAUCUAGACAUUGAUUUAUUUUAUGGGUUAUGUCGAGAGACAUUAGUUGUGAUGUUACUAAUGGUAUGAACCUCUUCUUAUUUGAGAUACUACUCGUAUUCAACAAGUUUAUCACGAAACUCUUCAAAGGUGAUAACUUUAUCUUUUGCUCUUACUGUUGCAGCUAAAUGUUUGAACUCGGGGCCGAGGCCAUUGAUUGUAUGGUUUAUGAAAUUGGAUAGCGGUAAUGGCGUAUUAAUAAGGGCAAUUUCAUCAACUGGUCCUCGAAUGGUGGCAAGAUAUUUAAUAACAGAUUAUAUACCUAGCCUUACAUUAGAGACCUUUGUGAGAUUAUGGCAAUUGGCAUAAAGCUUGUUGAGAUGAUUUUGAGGAAUUGAUCAUGGGCCGGACUCGAUCUGAGACAAAAACAAGAAUUCUAUGUCUGAGAAGCUGAUCUUGUCUCUUCUAUAGUAAAGCUGGAGGAUCUGGAACUUGUUUUCCAUCGAUGGUCUUCGUAUUAGGAGGAUAAGUUUUUUAUGCCAUCAACGAAACCAAUUAAAUCAUAGCCAAAUAGAAAGGCGUCAAUUUGAGCCUUCUAUGAGGGAUAGUUGGAGGGUAUCAAUUCGUCAGGAAGUUUUUAUGGCUAUUAGGUUUUGUCACUUAAGAUUUCAGGGAUUACAAUUUGUAGGUGUUGAGUUGUGAAGCAAAUCAAGAUAUUUGAAACGACAAGCUGGUCUUGCGUUUUGCAGCUUAAGUAAACUCCAAUACGACAACUGCUGAUUGCGUUUGGAAGAGCAAUUUGUUUGUCUCUAGAUCGACUUAGCUGAACGUUGUUUUGUGUUUAAGUAAAGCACGAGAGAAACACGUGCUCGAAGAAGCUGCUCAAAGUUGUUAUAAAUCUGUUAUAACGCAUGCCAAUCACGUGAGUUUCUGGGUUCGUUCUAGUUUGUAAAGAAGCUGUUAUAAACAGCUGAUUCUAGUGCAAUAAGAGGAGUAUUCAAGAAACACUAUGUUAUUAGUUCUUAAAACUCUCUAUAAUCAUCUUCUGAAAAUCAAGAAACUUGAUCCUGGUUUUUCAUGUGGUUGUAAGCUAGUGAAAGCUAGCUGAACCACGUUAAUUCUUUUAUUUUGCUGCUAGUUCUUUAAUUUUUUUCAGUUCUAAAGUUUCUCAGUGAUUUGUUCUUUUUGCAUCUUGGUUGUUCGAUUUGCGAUCUUGGCAAGUAUUUAGAGUUGAUCAUUAACGAAUCUGUCACUCCAAAUUCUACAAUUGGUAUCAGAGCUUGGACUACAAACCAGACACAAGUAUGACUGCUUCGAAGAUCGAUCUGGAGAAGUUCACUAGGAAGAAUAACUUCAAUAUGUGGAAGGUCAAGAUGGAGGCAUUACUGAUCACUCAAGGGUUGGGUGAUGCUUUGGAACCAAUCACCAAGAAAGAUGGAAAAGAAGCCUCGUCAUCUUCAUCAUCAUUAACUUUACAGCAAUCUACUGAUAUUGAUAAGAAAGCAAAAAGUACCAUAAUCUUGAGUCUUGGGGACUCUGUUAUCAGGGAAGUUGCAAAAGAAAAAAUAGUUGCUGACUUGUGGGCAAAGCUUGAAAAUGUGUAUAUGGCUAAAUCCCUAGCCAAUAGGCUUUACAUCAAGAAAAUGAUGUUUACACUCAAAAUGGCUGAGGGAUCAUCUCUUGAUGACCAUAUAUAUGAAUUCAACAAAGUCUGUGAUACACUAGAAAUCAUUGAUGAAGGUUUAGAUGAUGAAGGCAAAGCAUUGCUUCUGGUGAGUUCUCUUCCACAAUCAUAUUCUAACUUUGUUGAUGCACUCAUGUGUAGGAGGCAAACUUUGUCACUGGAUGAAGUUAAGGCUACUCUGAAUACUAGAGGGCUGCAAGAGAAGUCAGGGAAUAUGAAUUCUGGUGAAGUGUUGGCUGUUAAGGCUAAAAUUGAUAAGAAUGAUGGAAAGAAAAAGAAGCAAUGAAAUAAUAAACAAAAACCCAAAAGCAAGAAGUGUUUUCACUGUCAUAAAGAAGGGCACUUUAAGAAAGAUUGCCCAGAAAUAAAGAAUAAGAAAAAUAAAUAGAAUGGAGUUGCAGCAACUGUUAAAAAAGAAGGGUAUGAGUCAGCUGGAGUAUGUGUGGCUACAGAGCAUGUGCAAAAAGGUACCUGGAUUCUAGACUCAGGUUGUACAAUUUAAUAUGUAUCCCUUUAAAGAUUACUUAUCAAACUGUCAUGAGACUGAUGGGGGAAGGGUAAUGAUGGGUAAUAAUAUUGUAUGUAGAAUUGUUGGGAUAGGAAAUGUAAACCUUAAGUUGCAUGAUGGUACAAUAAGAGAAUUAAGGGAGGUUAGAUAUGUUCUUGAACUCAAGAGGAACCUAAUAUCCCUGGGUAUGCUUGACAAAUGGAUUUCAAAUGGUGAUGAGGUUGUUAUGAUAGGUCAUAAAAGAAAUGGGGUAUAUGUCUUGGGUGUUGAGGCCAUAAUAGGUAUUUCAGGAGUGUCAAUUAGCUCAGGUAAUGAUAAUACCUUACUGUGGCACUUAAGAUUAGGACAUAUGAGUUUAAAAGGAUUGAAAGAACUACAGAAGCAAGGGAUUCUGGGAACUGUACAAAUUUUAGAAUUAGAUUUUUGUGAAGACCGUGUCUUAGGUAAAGCAACUAGGAACAGUUUUAACAAAUCAGUUCAUUCAACCAAAGGCAUCCUUGAAUAUAUACACUCAGACCUAUGAGGACCUGUACAAACAAUGUCAUUAGUGGUAACAGCUAUUUUUUGUCUAUAAUUGAUGAUUAUUCAAGGAGAGUAUGGGUUUAUUUCUUGAAGCAUAAAGAUCAGGUAUUUGGAAAAUUCAAAUAAUGGAAAUCCCUGGUUGAAAAUCAACCUGGUCUAAAGGUAAAGAAACUUAGGACUGACAAUGGCCUUGAGUUUUGUAAACAGGAGUUUGAUAGAUACUGUGCAGAUCAUGGCAUUGCAAGGCAUUGAACUGUGAGGUUGACACCUCAACAAAAUGUUCUAGCCGAGAGAAUGAACAGAACCCUGAUGGACAAAGUUAGGAGCAUGCUGAUUCAGUCACAACUUCCAAAAGGUCUGUGGGCUAAGACAUUAUUAACAGCUAGCUACCUGGUUAAUCUCAUUCCUUCUGCAGCACUUGAGUUCCAAACUUCAUUUGAAAAAUGGCAUGGGAAACCAGCAAAUUAUAACAACCUCAAAGUGUUUUGAUGUCCAGUGUUGAGUGUUAGAAAAUGUAUAUUUAUAAAAGAGAAAAUCAUCAUUUUACAUUUCAAGUUUUACUAACAACCCUUAUUUUUAUGUAUUUAAGCUUCUUGCAAUUUAAUUAUGUGUGUUUGAUUUUAAUUAAGUAUUUUAUGUAUUUUAGGGGCAUUAUAGUCAUUUCACAAUAAAGGAGAGAUCAGACGGCAAAACGGACAUCACUUUUAAACUCAGGACGGUCGAAAACCUUAGGAGGAGCAUAAAAGGAAAAAUGGCACUAUUCACAUGUACGGUACUGUCUA